rnacentral:rRNA from 1 species
AUUGAACGCUGGCGGCAGGCCUAACACAUGCAAGUCGAACGAGUGGCGGACGGGUGAGUAAUGUCUGGGAAUCUGCCUGAUGGAGGGGGAUAACUACUGGAAACGGUAGCUAAUACCGUAUACCAUCCGAUGAACCCAGAUGGGAUUAGCUUGUAGGUGGGUUAAAGGCUCACCUAUGCGACGAUCCCUCGCUGGUCUGAGAGGAUGAUAAGCGACACUGGAACUGAGACACGGUCCAGACUCCUACGGGAGUCAGCAGUGGGGAAUAUUGCACAAUGGGCGCAAGCCUGAUGCAGCCAUGCCGGGUGUAGGAAGGAGGCCUUCGGGUUGUAAAGUACUUUCAGUGGGGAGGCGUUACCGGCAGAAGAAGCACCGGAUAACUCGGUGCCAGCGGCCGCGGUAAUUC